CACGUAGGGCGCAAGCGUUGUCCGGAAUUAUUGGGCGUAAAGAGCUCGUAGGCGGUCUGUUACGUCUGCUGUGAAAACCCUGGGCUUAACCCUGGGCUUGCAGUGGAUACGGGCAGACUAGAGGCAGGUAGGGGAGAAUGGAAUUCCCGGUGUAGCGGUGAAAUGCGCAGAUAUCGGGAGGAACACCGGUGGCGAAGGCGGUUCUCUGGGCCUGACCUGACGCUGAGGAGCGAAAGCGUGGGGAGCGAACAGGA
rnacentral:rRNA from 1 species